rnacentral:rRNA from 1 species
UACGGAGGGUGCGAGCGUUUGUCCGGAAUCACUGGGCGUAAAGGGCGCGUAGGCGGCGCGGGAAGUCCGUGGUGAAAGCCCGAGGCUCAACUUCGGGUCGGCCAUGGAUACUCCUGGGCUCGAGCACUGUAGAGGCAGGUGGAAUUCCGGGUGUAGCGGUGGAAUGCGUAGAGAUCCGGAAGAACACCGGUGGCGAAGGCGGCCUGCUGGGCAGUGACCGUAAGGUCUUAAAGCUGACGCUGAGGCGCGACAGCGUGGGGAGCAAACGG